AGUCUUAUAUUCAAAAUAAUGAUAUAAAAUUGCAAAUUUUAAGGUAUAAAAAAUUAUUAAGGCUU
rnacentral:tRNA from 1 species